AUGCAAAGAGGCACCAAAAUGAAAAGAGAGAAAGCAAUGGAGGCGGAAACAGAUGUUCAACCUUCCUCGUGUUACAGAAACUGCUACCGAGCAAAGCUGCUUAAAAGGACCCUGAAGACGUGGCACAAGGUGAGUUCACACAACAAAGUCAAACAGUAUUUUCUCGUUAUUCAACGAGAAAAUACUUUUAGCUAUUGUAAUUUUGUAUAUGUAUUUCCCAUCGGAGUUACACAGGACAAGCAAGAAACACAAAAAAAGAAAAUACAGAAUGGAAUGGAAUUUAAUUUAUGGCCGUUUUUGACACCGGUCCAUCAUCCGGGGACACAUCUUCACACACAUUGGUAUGUGUCCGGGGCGCUGAUUCAAGACGUCAUCUUUGAUGACUUACAAAUGUAGGUUGAGUAUUUCAGUCUACAGUGUGGGACAACACACCCAUGUGCUACUGGAGCGCUUUCCAGACACAAUGUUUAAUAUACAAAUGUAAUGGUUUAGCUAAACUCGACUAGCAAAUUACAAGCGAUUGGAAAUAAAAAGGGUCAAGAUUUAAGGAGUCUGAAGUCCUCUGAAAAUGACAGAAAACAUGCAACGCCACCACCUCCGUGUCUUCUUAGGGUGCCUAGUUUUUAGCUCCAUAUGCACCUGUAACCUUAUAACUGAAAACAUGCUGUAUAUGUCAGCUUUUAAGUGAAAAAGAUAGAGAUCAUAAUGAGAGGGGGGGGGGGCGUAAUUUAGAUUAUGCCAACCGAGGCGUAAAUGAAGUCUUGUUUCAGCGCGAGUCUUGCAUGAAUACUCAGCCGUCCUCUGAUUCGUUUGAACAGGGAGAGUCCACGCAGACGUCUAACACAACACGAUGUAAUCUGCUGCAGCGCCAGCCAAUCGAAUACAUGCACGUGCACAUUCCUGAAACCUGCUUCUCCCGUGUGGGCUAUAUUCCUAGUAUCCCCCCUCAGAGUUGUAACACCCUGUUUGUGUGAGAGAAACCUUUGGUGUCUUUGGUAUAACCUUCAAAACACAUUGUGUUACUUUAAUGCUUCCGUGAUCGCUAAAGGCUGUAAAGGUAGAUUGCGUUCCUGCCAAACAGGCACGAGGCCACAAUGAUCACAGGGUUGAUGAUUGCUAGCCUUGAAUCUGCAUUGUACCAGUUAAGUUAAAUGAAAUCAUGACUUUGGAUGGUCCGUGUCACAGUGCUGCCUUCGACCUGUCUGGUUUGUGGGCGAGUCUUCUUCCUGUGCCCUCAUCUGCUCCCUCUCUCCAGUGUGUAAUGUUAUAAACAUGACAUUUGAUAUCAUUUGCCACUCUAAUGUCAUCACAUCCAUUACCAGGCAUGUGACGAGUCACCGGGACAUUUAUAAUAAAUAGACGAGCAGCUUGAAGCUUUUGCAUCACUUUAGUUUAUACAUAACAAGAACAGGUGAAUGACCUGUUAUAGAAACAAUGCGUGUAAGGCCUGUAUCUUUUGAUCAUAGACAUAAAAUAUUCCUGAUUGUAGCAUCCCUGCCGGCUACUCUUUAGAGCAGUGGUUCUCAACUGGUCCGGCCCCCGGGACCCGCCAUCACCCCUUAAUGACAAGCCACGACCCAAAUCGAGGAACAUUCUCAACUUCUCAAAUUUAUUUAAUGAAAAUAUAGUGCAGUUUGAACCUGAGAUAAUAUGGAGACAGAAUACGUAUGCCAACACAAAAACAAGUUUAAUGAAAAAACCAAACAGCCAGCUGUUCAUUUUUAUCUUCCCAGACAAAGGCCUGCGACCCAUUAAAAACGGGUCCCUAACCCACCAGUUGAGAAUCACUGCUUUAGAGUAUUUAGCUGAUUUAAACGGAAAAUCUGACCUAAAUUGAGACUUUCUGUUCAUGUACUGUGCAAAAGUAUAAAUUUACAAAAUGUUCAGCUGCCACUUAACUUUUUUGAGAGAAAUCUAAAUGCGACCAGAGAAUGAUCCUCUCAGUGCUUUGUGUCAGAUGUUUGUGUCAAAGAUACUGUAGUUUGGGAUUUAAAGGAAGAGUUUAGUAUUUUGGGGAAUCCACUGUGAGGGAUGCCCCUCUGACUCCCCGGUUCUCUCCAGAGCAAAGCACCUCUGCAGCUCUGAAACAAACCAGUCCUACAGGGACGACAGCAGGCCGGCUUGAUGGUCGGUCCUUUCAGUUCCCUUUCAUGCGGCCUGAGAUAAAAACGUCUCCUCUCCUUAUGAAGCCAGGAGGCAGUCAUUGGAAAUGCGCCCCAUAUUUCUGCAAAUAAUGUGUAUGCACUUACACAAAUGGACAAAUCAAAUAUCUUGAUUUCAGUAAUUUGUACAAAUAUUUAUUCUAUCCUGCAUUAUUCUCCCGAGUCCCCACACAUAACUAUUGUGAUCUGUAGAAGCCGAGAGGUUCACAAGAUGAUUGUUGGAGGUAUCAUAUUUUAUUAUAUUAUUUCCAGUGGGUCUGUUUAUUUAUUAGCAUCUGGAAUCGCCUGAUAUUUACAAUGUUCUAGCUUACAGGAAAGAUAAAUGAAGCCAUAACCAGCUCGGUGGGGUUAGUUGGCAUGUCAGUGGCUUCCUCCAAGAAGAAACCUUUUAUUUCCUCUUCCUACAAAACUUAUAAAGGAGUCCAUGAGAAAAUCUGAGGUUGGGUAGCUGCUGAAAAGUGAGCCUGCUUGAGAUACUCAAUCAUUUCCAGGUUACAUGAGUCGUGACUGGAGAUGAGCCCAAAGAAACGGGACUAUAAAAAGACGUUUACUCGUCUAUUGGUGUCGUUGUCGCUCUAGCUGGCGGCGGACUGCUGUAACGGCUGCUUCAAAAACCACCCAAUGAGCCAGAACAUCUGCCCAAGAGCAGAGAAGGAGCCGCUUGUCCAUGUGGUGCUCUUUGUGUGGCAUUGCGUGUGUGUGUCAGAGUGGAUCGGUUUUCUGUUGUUCAGUCUCCUGGGGGCUGAACCGAGUAGCAGAGAUGUCGUGAUCUUACGCUCAAACCUCCCUCCGUCCUCGGCUUUCUGUCUCGCUGUCUCUCCAUAGCUCGCUGAGCGGCAGGACGCUCGCCUCAGGCACAAAUCCUUUCUUUCCAACUGCAGCUGUUUCUCUGUGUUUGACCCACAAACUGGCAUGCCGAAACUUUACAGAUGAAUAAACCUGAUUUCACGGCUGCCGAAAUAGUAAACAGGAACCGCAGUGGUGUGAGAAAUCGUCCUAAUGAUGAAAUUGUCGUGUGCAGAAGUGUAAUGGUUUGAGUUUAGGGCUGAAAUGGGACACUGCAGUCGACAGUGAAGGAACUAACGAGACGUAGUUUCCAUGUAGAUCGUCCGUGUGGUUGAAGUUACAGCAUACUGAGCUCUAAUUAAUACAAACAGAUUACAAAUAAACUAAAUAUGUUAAUUAUGAUAACACAGCGUUUUGCAUUUCUUUGGGAAACGCGUGUGUGAAACAAAUGUGUCUGAUUAAAAAGUCCAAUCUACGGUUAACUGAAAUAAACGGAGCGAAAGAAAGAUUAGAAAGAAACGUGUUUAAAGUCUCUUUCAAACUCACUAGUGAAAUGGAAGUGGUUUUAUUUAGAUUAAAGCUUUCUAAGAUCUCUGAGUGGGAGGGGGGGGGGGGGGGGGGG
ensembl:lncRNA